GCAGCCGCCGCGGUAAUACGUAGGAUGCAAGCGUUAUCCGGAAUCACUGGGCGUAAAGAGUUCGUAGGCGGUUUGUUAAGUCGGAUGUGAAAGACCGAGGCUCAACCUCGGGAACAUGUCCGAAACUAAUUAACUAGAGUCUGUGAGAGGUACACGGAAUUCUGGGUGUAGCGGUGAAAUGCGUAGAUAUCCAGAGGAACACCAAUGGCGAAGGCAGUGUACUGGCGCAGUACUGACGCUGAGGAACGAAAGCGUGGGGAGCGAACGGGAUUAGAUACCCCGGUAGUCCACGCCGUAAACGAUGCCAACUAGCUGUGGGGAGCAUCGACCCUCUCCGUAGCGUAGCUAACGCGUUAAGUUGGCCGCCUGGGGAGUACGGCCGCAAGGCUAAAACUCAAAGGAAUUGACGGGGGCCCGCACA
rnacentral:rRNA from 1 species